rnacentral:rRNA from 1 species
UACGGAGGGUGCAAGCGUUGUCCGGAAUUAUUGGGUUUAAAGGGUACGCAGGCGGUUCUUUAAGUCAGAGCUGAAAUGCUGCAGCUUAACUGUAUGCACUGGCUUUGAUACUGAAGAACUUGAAUCCACUAGGGGUAGGCGGAAUUGAUUGUGUAGCGGUGAAAUGCAUAGAUAUGAUCAAGAACACCGAUAGCGAAGGCAGCUUACUGGAGUGGUAUUGACGCUCAUGUACGAAAGCGUGGGGAGCGAACAGG